UCGUUUCUUCACAUCAGCACUGACAUCCCCACGGUUUCUUUAAAUUGAUCCUUUGUCGCUGCCAUAGCCGCGGGUGCGGUAAAAAACGUCACCGGCUGCAGAAAAGUGGAUUCUUCGUUUGUUUUCUCAUGUAGCGGAGGACCUUGUGUUCCUCCGCACGCUCAUUGGUUGUCCGUCUGCGUCGCAGACGGCGAAAAACUGGGAGGAAGGGAAAGGGUGAAGCGAGGGCGUUUCGUCUGAGCGCCUACGCGCAAGGCAGCGCGGUUGCCCCUCUACCCACUUCUUCCUCUUUUCUUUUUAUAACUUCCCAUUGGUCGGUUCGCCCAGCGGUUCAAGAAGCUGCCGCGGUUGCGCGUGCGAUGUUUUGCCAAACGUGCUCUCUUCAGAGUCCGUCUGCUGCAACCGAGGCGUUGGAAGCUACACGAAGUUUUGGGGAGUUCCCCCUCCUACUCUCUCCUGUUUCCGUUCCUUCUUUUGUUGUUUCUGUUCCUCGCGCCACGCUACGUACGCUGGCGUCGGCGCGAAAAGCAAGAGUGCGCAUGGGGGGAGAAAAUCGCCGCCAUCGUCGGUGCCUGAGGCACGUUCGUCCAAUGAGCCCGCCUCUCUCCGCCUGUCUCCGGACGCUUCCCGUAGACUUUAUAAUUAGAGCCAGCAGCACCAACUCCUCGCGCAACACCAGCGCUGCGCGCGUUGUGAAGAAAGUAAACAAGAGCUUGCCGCCCUCCGGCCAAAGCUAGCUGUUGCCCUUCGCACCAUCCUAGCUCGUGGCAGCUCAUACGCCGUUGAAGCGACGUGAACCGCUUCCCUGCCGCACACUCUCCCCCGCCAUCCUUUGCAUAGCGGGACAAAGUUCAGAGUUCCUCGCGUUGUUGUUAUUGUUGCUGCACACGGCGGCCCCUCCCUGCUGCAGACGCUCCUCCUCGGUGCUUAAGACAGAGCGAAAGAAAAAAAAUGUAUUAGUAAAAAAGGAAAGGCGCCCAAAAAGAGCCAAGCCACCGAUGCUGAGUGCAGAACUUCAGUCAGAAACCGAUCUCGAGGUCGCACGCGCGCAGACGUGAAAAUUGAACUAGCCUCCAAGACACUGCUCUCCCGGUUAUCAUAGAAGAAACGGGGUCCACUUCCAUGUUCGCCGACGCCGAAGUUUCGGCUCUGGACGUGCCCACGGCCUACCAGCGGCAUUAUCAGUCGUCCGGUGCCCCGACUGCUGCAUCGACUGCCUACGAGCGCUGCUACGGGUCGACGGCUGUUCUGAUGCACCGCCCGCCGUAUCCAGAAGUCGCCUCGGCCGCCUUCUACCCGCUGGACGAUGUGCCGCUGCCUUGCUCCACGCUGGCGGAUCAUCGUCGCCACACCCCUUCGUACGCAGUAUAUGACCGCAGUUACGUCGACGCCCCGCCUUCUUCGUACCUGUACAGCGCUGCCGCUGCGGCGUACGACUGCGUAUACGGUGACUGCCCAGAUUGCGUGGAGGCCGGCUACUCGCCUGCGCCUGGCGGUAGCCGGUCGCCCGCCGGAGCGGACGACGAAGACGCCAAGUUCUCGGCUGCCGCCUGCCCCUCGCAGGCGACGUCCGCCAUGUCGCGGCGUGCUACCAGCGUCGCUCGCAAGCGGAGCCUCUCCCAGGCCGAACUGGAACGGCGCAGGUCCUUGGCGAACCACCAGGAACGGCGUCGCAUGCACCGGCUCAACUCGGCGCUGGAUCGACUGCGUAGCACGAUACCGCCGCGCCUGCAGAACGGCAGUCGGCGCCUGUCCAAGAUCAAGACUCUCAAGAUGGCCAUCAACUACAUCGUCGAGCUGCAGACCGUGCUGAGCCCGUCGACUGUCUCUGGAGCUGGCGGCAGUGUCGUCGGUUGUACGCCUGUCUCCCGUUCCUGGAACUGAACGAUGCCCGCAUUUUCUUUGUACACUGCUAUGUACCGACUGCCGUGCAUGCGAGUCAACUACGUGGAACGAGCGCCACGCCGCCGCGACGGUUGUUCAGGCCGGAAGCGAACUGGCAGACAAGCUGGAAGAGAAGCUCGCCCAGAUCGGACAACGUAC